GACGAACGCUGGCGGCGUGCCUAAUACAUGCAAGUCGAACGAGAGCGACCGGUGCUUGCACUGGUCAAUCUAGUGGCGAACGGGUGAGUAACACGUGGGUAACCUGCCCAUCAGAGGGGGAUAACAUCCGGAAACGGAUGCUAAAACCGCAUAGGUCUUCGAGCCGCAUGGCUUGAAGAGGAAAAGAGGCGCAAGCUUCUGCUGAUGGAUGGACCCGCGGUGCAUUAGCUAGUUGGUGAGGUAACGGCUCACCAAGGCCGUGAUGCAUAGCCGACCUGAGAGGGUGGUCGGCCACAUUGGGACUGAGACACGGCCCAAACUCCUACGGGAGGCAGCAGUAGGGAAUCUUCCGCAAUGGACGCAAGUCUGACGGAGCAACGCCGCGUGAGUGAAGAAGGUGUUCGGAUCGUAAAACUCUGUUGUUAGAGAAGAACAAGUGCUAGAGUAACUGUUAGCGCCUUGACGGUAUCUAACCAGAAAGCCACGGCUAACUACGUG
rnacentral:rRNA from 1 species